AAUCAAUAGAGGAAGGGUAAUCAAUAGAGGAAGGUGAUCAAUAGAGGAAGGUAGUCAAUAGAGGAAGGUAGUCAAUAGGGGAAGGGUAAUCAAUAGAGGAAAGUAAUCAAUAGAGGAAGGGUAAUCAACAGAGGAAGGUGAUCAAUAGAGGAAGGUAGUCAACAGAGGAAGGGUAAUCAAUAGAGGAAGGUAGUCAAUAGAGGAAGGUAGUCAAUAGAGGAAGGGUAAUCAAUAGAGGAAAGUAAUAGAGGAAGGGUAAUCAAUAGAGGAAGGUGAUCAAUAGAGGAAGGUAGUCAAUAGAGGAAGGUAGUCAAUAGGGGAAGGGUAAUCAAUAGAGGAAAGUAAUCUUUUUUAUUGAGACAGUCUUGCUCUGCCACCCAGGCUGGAGUGUGGUGGCCUU
rnacentral:lncRNA from 1 species